AGCUUAUUGAUGAUGUCCUCAUAAAAAAAUGUCUGAACAUAUGAGUUCCAUAGUGAUUUCAAUGCCUACUGAGAUAAGCU